CAUAUUCCACACCAUGAGUAAUGAGAUAAGAAACUAGAUACAACUAUGGCGUCGAAGAUUAAAAUUUACCUAAUAGAAUGAGACAUUGUAAAAUAAGUCACAUUAUCCUUCUCUUUCUGUAUAUGUGGAUUCUCAUCUUUUGUAGUUGACUUGAAACAAAGUUUCUUGAAUGAAAGCCUCCAAAUCACCCGAAGGUUGGACGAACCAUCAGCCACUUCGGCAACUAUGCAGCUUGCCAUUAUGCCUGUAAAAUAGCAACCACCAAAGGAGCAUACCCAAAGCAUGAGACACCAACAGUAGCAGAUUUUGUCAUCAUCAGAGACUAUCUUGAAGAAAAAGGAUGAUUCUUUACAAGCUUUUGCUUGGAAAACAAUAUUUCCAGGUAAGGAAACAUGAUCACAUAAGAUAGGAUAAGGUAGGAUUAGAAAUCCUUCCCAUAUCCUCCGGAUUAAAAAAAAAAAAAAAAAAAAGAAUCAUUUCUUAUGUUUGGUGCAAUCCAAGAUAGAAUUCAAAAUCUUUGAAAAUCUCACUUGCUCAUAGAGGUGAUACUUUCCAUAUCUAGGGCAAUAUUUUGUUGACGUAAUCUCAAACGGCCGAGGCCAGCAACAUUUUGAGUGGUCACCGUUUUCGCUGGAGCUCCUCCUUCUCCUUUGAAAUCUUUCAAUUGUCAGCACAAAGAGUCUCAGAUUUGAGUAGAGGACAGGAUUGGACGUCGAAGCAUCAUGGCAAAAUCGGGUGACCAUCGUUUAGGACCGACAUACAAACACCCAAAACUUAUGCAAUUCGAUUUUUUUCUUCUCCUUUUUCACAAACGACUUUUCGGUGUCGAUCCAUCGAUUUCAUCAUUCAUUGGCGAUGGCCGAUUCAGUUCAACGGUCAUCAGAGGAUAAUCGGCAAACCAAAUGGGCUAGACAGCAAUGAUGAUCAGCAUUGAUUGAAGACAAUGACAAUCGCACGGUGGUUGGGAGUGAUAGGCUAUUGUGGCAGUGAUCCUGCACAGUGGUCUUGCACGGUGGUGGGGAGUGAUAGGCUGUUAUGGCAGUGUUCCUUGCACAGUGGCUGGCGAAACCAGACUCCAC
rnacentral:lncRNA from 1 species